GUUGACUCCGAAGGGACGCAGCAGCAAUUCAUGUUUUGGAGUGUUGUAAAAGAUUCAAAACAUGAAGCGCUGCUACACCCCUUCGUGGGG
rnacentral:pre_miRNA from 1 species